AUUAUUAAGCUAUCCUAAGAAUUUUCUUCAUCCAAAUUAUAUCUUGUACUAAAAUUUGGUAUUGCAGCUUAUUUUGAUUUUUUAAAGUUGCAAUCUUAUACAAACCACACCAUUAAAAAUAUUACAUUGCUUAUUCUCUAUUAUCUUUUUCUACCAUUUCAUAUUUUAUGAGGCCACAUACUCAUGUAGAACAGCGGUCCUCUUAAUAAUUUAUUUUACAAAAUUUAACAAAUAUAAAUAAAAAUAGACUAUUAAACUAUCCUAAGAAUUUUCGGUACCCAAAUUAUAUCUUAUGCUAAAAUUUGGUGUUGCACCUUACUUUGAUUAUUUAAGGUUGCAACCUUGUACAAAC
rnacentral:lncRNA from 1 species